CUAUCUGCCGUGGGUGUUUGAAUCUUGAGAGGAGCUGUCCCUAGUACGAGAGGACCGGGAUGGACGCACCUCUGGUGUACCGGUUGUCACGCCAGUGGCACCGCCGGGUAGCUAAGUGCGGAAGGGAUAACUGCUGAAAGCAUCUAAGCGGGAAGCCCACCUCAAAACUAGGAUUCUUUGAGAACCGUGGGAGACGACCACGUUGAUAGGCUAGGUGUGUAAGCGUAGUAAUACGUUCAGCUAACUAGUACUAAUAGUUCGAAUCGCUUGAUCAAC
rnacentral:rRNA from 2 species